UACCAGCACCCCGAGUGGUCGGGACGUUUAUUGGGCCUAAAGCAUCCGUAGCCGGUUCUACAAGUCUUCCGUUAAAUCCACCUGCUUAACAGAUGGGCUGCGGAAGAUACUAUGGAGCUAGGAGGCGGGAGAGGCAAGCGGUACUCGAUGGGUAGGGGUAAAAUCCGUUGAUCCAUUGAAGACCACCAGUGGCGAAGGCGGCUUGCCAGAACGCGCUCGACGGUGAGGGAUGAAAGCUGGGGGAGCAACCGG
rnacentral:rRNA from 1 species